UACGUAGGGUGCAAGCGUUGUCCGGAAUUAUUGGGCGUAAAGAGCUCGUAGGCGGUCUGUCGCGUCGUCCGUGAAAACCCGGGGCUCAACUCCGGGCUUGCGGGCGAUACGGGCAGGCUAGAGUUCGGUAGGGGAGACUGGAAUUCCUGGUGUAGCGGUGAAAUGCGCAGAUAUCAGGGGGGAACACCGGUGGCGAAGGCGGGUCUCUGGGCCGAUACUGACGCUGAGGAGCGAAAGCGUGGGGAGCGAACAGG
rnacentral:rRNA from 1 species